rnacentral:rRNA from 1 species
CAGUCGCCACGGUAAAACGUAGGUGGCAAGCGUUGUCCGGAAUUAUUGAGCGUAAAGGGCUCGCAGGCGGUUUCUUAAGUCUGAUGUGAAAGCCCCCGGCUCAACCGGGGAGGGUCAUUGGAAACUGGGAAACUUGAGUGCAGAAGAGGAGAGUGGAAUUCCACGUGUAGCGGUGAAAUGCGUAGAGAUGUGGAGGAACACCAGUGGCGAAGGCGACUCUCUGGUCUGUAACUGACGCUGAGGAGCGAAAGCGUGGGGAGCGAACAGGAUUAGAUACCCGUGUAGUCCCUGUCUCUUAUAC